GACGAACGCUGGCGGCGUGCCUAAUACAUGCAAGUAGAACGCUGAAGCGAGGAGCUUACUCUUCUUGGAUGAGUUGCGAACGGGUGAGUAACGCGUAGGUAACCUGCCUUGUAGCGGGGGAUAACUAUUGGAAACGAUAGCUAAUACCGCAUAACAAUGGAUGACACAUGUCAUUUAUUUGAAAGGGGCAAUUGCUCCACUACAAGAUGGACCUGCGUUGUAUUAGCUAGUAGGUGAGGUAAUGGCUCACCUAGGCGACGAUACAUAGCCGACCUGAGAGGGUGAUCGGCCACACUGGGACUGAGACACGGCCCAGACUCCUACGGGAGGCAGCAGUAGGGAAUCUUCGGCAAGGGGGGCAACCCUGACCGAGCAACGCCGCGUGAGUGAAGAAGGUUUUCGGAUCGUAAAGCUCGGUUGUAAGUCAAGAACGGGUGUGAGAGUGGAAAGUUCACACUGUGACGGUAGCUGACCAGAAAGGGACGGCUAACUACGUG
rnacentral:rRNA from 1 species